rnacentral:rRNA from 1 species
UACGUAGGUGGCAAGCGUUACUCGGAAUCACUAGGCGUAAAGCGCAGGUAGGCGGUUGGAUAAGUUUCUUGUGAAAGCUCCUGGCUUAACUGGGAGAGGUCAAGGAAUACUGUCUGACUUGAGUGUGGUAGGGGGUAACUGGAAUUCCCGGUGUAGCGGUGAAAUGCGUAGAUAUCGGGAGGAAUACCUAUGGCGAAGGCAGGUUACUGGGCCAUCACUGACGCUGAGCUGCGAAAGCUAGGGGAGCAAACAGG